rnacentral:rRNA from 1 species
UCCGUAGGGCGCAAGCGUUAUCCGGAAUUAUUGGGCGUAAAGAGCUCGUAGGCGGUUUGUCGCGUCUGCCGUGAAAGUCCGGGGCUCAACCCCGGAUCUGCGGUGGGUACGGGCAGACUAGAGUGAUGUAGGGGAGACUGGAAUUCCUGGUGUAGCGGUGAAAUGCGCAGAUAUCAGGAGGAACACCGAUGGCGAAGGCAGGUCUCUGGGCAUUAACUGACGCUGAGGAGCGAAAGCAUGGGGAGAGAACAGG